rnacentral:rRNA from 1 species
UUGGAUUCAGAGGUGGGGUUGUGGGUCGGGUGUGGCCCGGCAGCUUGUCUCCGUGUGCCGCUCCCAAUCAACCCGCGUUUGCCCCAGCCUCCUAUCGCACGGAAACGGAGUCCUGCUGGGGUCUCCUUAACUGGGGGUUCCAGCGCUUCCGCGCACAACGUGCGCUUACGGACCGUCCGUGGACGUUACUGUGAACAAAACAGCGUGUUCAAAGCAAGUGGCUUGCCUGCCCUGCAUGUUAAAGCAUGGAAUAACAAGGCAUCGACCACUCGGCGGUGCUUUUGUUGGUCUUUCCCUCCCGGUGGRAAUGCGCAGGCGUGCACACUGCCGGCCUUCUGGCCGGUCUGGGUGCCGUCUCUUCGAGAUCAAUAGGGGCAAACGGGGAGAUACCUAUUGUGGGGAGAGCGGUGAAAUGCGAUGACCCCCAUAAGAGGAACUUCAGCGAAAGCAGUUCUCAAGACUGCCUUCGUUAAUCAAGAACGAGACUGUGGGGAUCAAAGAUGAUCAGAUACCGUCGUAGUCCACUAGCGUAAACGAUGCCGACUCAUCAUUGGGGGGCAUCUCUAACA